rnacentral:snoRNA from 1 species
AAUAUACUUUCAGAGAUCAUUUCUGUAGUUACUAAAGAAGUUUCACUGAUCCUGUAGAGCACUGGAAACCAUGAGGAGGAGGUGCAGCCAUUCUCUCCUGAGCAUGGAGCCGGCUCUUGGUGUUUCUUUGCUGCAAUUGCCAUCUGCCAUUGUUUAUUGUUCUUCUCUUCCUUUGGGAAUGUAAGAGGGAGAAGACACAGUCUGAGAAGG